UCGCCCUCUGCCCUUCCCCGCCGCCAUGCCGGGCCUCGGCCGUCUCCUGCCGCUGCUCCUGCUCGCCGGGCUCUGCCCGCCCGCCCUCAGCCUCCGCCAUGGGCCCUCCAAGAUCGCCGUGGUGGGCGGCGGGAUUGGCGGCUCGGCCGCCGCGUAUUUCCUGCGGCAGAAGUUCGGCCGCAGCGUGCAGCUGCACGUGCUGGAGAAGGCAGCGCUGGGCGGCCGGCUGGACACGCUGGACGUGGAGGGGGCCAGCUACGAGGCAGGGGGGUCCGUGAUCCACCCCCUCAACCUGCACAUGAAGCAUUUUGUCCAGGAGCUGGGCCUUUCAGCCAACACACUCCAGGGCAGCCCCUCAGGCGUUUACAAUGGGGAGGAAUUUGUGUUUGAGGAGAGCAGCUGGUCCUUCAUCAACCGCCCCAAGCUGCUGUGGCACUACGGCCUCAACCCCCUGCGCAUGUCCAUGUGGGUGGAGGACAUCCUGGACAAGUUCAUGAGGAUCUACCGGUACCAGAUGCACGACUACGCCUUCAGCAGCAACGAGCGCCUGCUGCACGCCCUGGGCGGCGACGACUUCGCGCGGCUGCUGAACCAGAGCAUCGACGAGGCCAUGCAGAAAGCAGGCUUCUCCCAGAAAUUCAUCAACCAGGUGGUGUGUCCCAUCAUGAGAUUCGCUUAUGGCCAAGGGGUCACCGUCAACGGCUUUGUAGGUGUUCUCCUUGCAGGCUGGUUGGAGUCGGGCCUUUGGUCUGUGAAAGGGGGGAACAAACUCGUGUGCUCCGGCCUCAUCUACUCCUCUAAGGCCGAGGUUAUCCCGGGAACUGUCGUGUCCAUAGAGCCAAAAACCAGACACCAGCGUGGUGGGGACACGGUGAAGCUCUACGAGGUCACCUACAACACGUCCUCAGGGCUCACAGGGGACACCUACGACAUCGUGCUCAUCGCGGCGCCGCUGGGCCGCAAGAUGGCCGACAUCACCUUCCGCAACUUCGACCCUCCCAUCCCGGAAUUCCCCAGUCCCUAUCAGCAGAUCUUCACCACCCUGGUGCACGGGCGCUUGAACACCUCCUUCUUCGGCUACCAGGACCCCCAGGCCUUUCCCUUUGGGGCCAUUUUCACCACGGACAAUCCCAAACUGUUCUUCAACAGCGUGAACCUGGAGCCCCCCGUGGGUGACACGGGCACGGGCGAGAAGCUGCCGCUGCCCUCGGCCGUCUGGAAGGUGUUUUCCAACGAGGAGCUCAGCAAGGAGCAGCUCAAUCUGCUCUUCUCCUCCUACGACUCGGUGAAGGUGAAGCCGUGGCUGGCGUAUCCCCAGUACAGCGCUCCCGAGAGGUUUCCCCCCAUCGUGCUGCACGAGCAGCUCUACUACCUGAACGGGCUGGAGCGCGCCGCCAGCGCCAUGGAGAUGAGCGCCAUCGCCGCCCGCAACGCCGCCCUGCUCGCCUUCCACCGCUGGCACGGCCACGGCGCCAGCGUCGACCAGGAGGACCUGCACGAGAGGCUCAAAACGGAGCUCUGACACGCCCCCGGGGCUUAAUUAGCGCUAAUGAACUAUGAGCUGCGCCCCUCCUACGAGGUGUUUCAUAGGAUCAUGGGAUCCUUAUGAUUGGAG